rnacentral:rRNA from 1 species
CCUACGGGAGGCAGCAGUGGGGAAUAUUGCACAAUGGGGGAAACCCUGAUGCAGCGACGCCGCGUGAGUGAAGAAGUAGUGCGGUAGGGAAAGCUCUAUCAGCAGGGAAGAAAAGGACGGUACCUGAGGAAGAAGCCACGGCUAACAACGUGCCAGCAGCCGCGGUAAUACGGAGGGGGCAAGCGUUAUCCGGAUUUACUGGGGGUAAAGGGAGCGUAGACGGCAGCACAAGUCUGGAGGGAAAUGCCGGGGCUUAACCCCGGAACUGCUUUGGAAACUGGGCAGCUAGAGUGCAGGAGAGGUAAGUGGACUUCCUCUUGUCGCGGUGUCAUGCG